rnacentral:lncRNA from 1 species
CGGCUCACUGCAAGCUCCCCCUCCUAGGUUCACGCCAUUCUCCUGCCUCAGCCUCCAGAGCAGCUGGGACUACAGGCGCCUGCCACAACGCCCGGCUAAUUUUUUGUAUUUUUAGUAGAGACAGGGUUUCACCGUGUUAGCCAGGAUGGUCUCGAUCUCCUGACCUUGUGAUCCACCCACCUCGGCCUCCCAAAGUGCUGGGAUUAUAGGCGUGAGCCACUGCGCC